rnacentral:lncRNA from 1 species
AUUCAGUCCCAGGGUGGGUAUUCAGUCUUCCUUUUUCUGGUAUGGGACAAGGACAACCACACCCAAUAACAAUGACUCUUCUCUGGCCCUACAUUACCAGGAUUUCUAAAUCCACACACACAUCCAUGAGGACCUUCAUCACAGAAGAGAGAAGCGUCAGUGUGACCCUGCUUUCAGGGAUGUGCCCACGAGCCCUCUCUCUUCCUGCUUAGCAUUUGGCACAGAAAAUCAAACAACAAAUAUUGUUGUUGUUGUUCAUUCAUUUCCAUUGCAUCCCAUUCUCGGUGACCUCAUUUGGGGUUUUCUUGGCAGAGAUACUGGAAUGGUUUGCCGUUUCCUUCUCCAGUUCACUUUACAGAUGAGGAAACUGAGGCCAACAGGGGUAAGGGACUUAUCCAGAGUCACACAGCUAGGAAGUGUCUGAGACCAGAUUUGAACUUGGGAAGAGGAGUCUUCUUGACUUCAGGCCUAGAACUCUAUCUACUAUACCGUCUAGCUGCCCUUAGGCAGCCAUAGGAACAAUCUGAGUAAUUACCCUGUCAGAUUGGAGAAAGGACUGAGUUGGUCUGAAGAAAUGGAAAGGUUGGACUUUCUUCCUCUGCUUUUGAAGAUUUUCAUUGAACCUCCACCUCAGAGAGAAAGGAAAACGGGGAGUUUUCUUAUUCUUUUGUCUUGCUGUGUCCAUUACCUAUUUAGCUUGUCUCUCUCCACAGCCGUCUCUGUGCCAUCGAAUCCAGAUUCUCAGAGAGCAAGGGCCAAGGGAUGAGAGCAUGCUUCUUUGUGUUGCUUAGUAGCUUGUCAGCAUUUCCCCCUAUGGAAUGGACUUUUAUCAGCAUAUGGGCCCUCCUCACCCUGGACUAUCCAGCCACUCCUGUGAUUUUCAUAACUGGGAAUAUUCCUCUGCCAGGUCUGCCCCUUUCUCCCACUGAAUCAUCAGAGUCAAGUGGCAAGGCAAAAGUCAAGGUGACUGGGGAUGGCCCAGGAUUCAGCAGAUGACCGUAGCUUCUUCAAUGUCUAACCAAACGACUGAUCCACUCCCACCACGCUGGCUACCAUCACCACCACCACCCCAAACUGCCACGGUCAUGCAAGUAAGCCCAAGAAGCAUGGAAUAGCAUUCCUGUGUUACCACUGACCUUACAGCCACCCCCCAGAAAAGCAACCCUUAUGAAGAAGGGGGAUUGUCUUUCCAUCUCCCACCAGUGCCAACUGCCAGGGCUAGUCUUAGGCAAGCACCAAGGGGCCCCCCAGGGCAAGAUAGGAGGAGGCAUGUCCCAGGUUCGUCCAUCUCCCCUCCACCAACAUCUCCCCUUCAAUUCUCAUGGAAAUAGCCCAGAAUCCUCUGCCCAAGAGCCCCAGGAACGGCAUUGCCCUCUUCCAAUUCUGCAUC